rnacentral:lncRNA from 1 species
CAUGUCACAGGCUAUGAAGGCUAUGCCUACGACCUUGGAGAUGGCGGCGGCCAGGGCGGCGCUGCUUAUGAAACGGAAGGAUGCUACUUCGGGCCAACGGCAACGUGCAACUUCUUUGGGUAGCUUUGCGUAAUUACCACUAGUACUUUUUUUACGUGUUCACUUAAUGGUGAAUAAUAAUGUCGUUAUGCCUUAGGUCGACAUGAUCAAUGAGUUUAAGUUGG